CCCAGCUCUGUCCAGGUUUGGGUGGCGAACUCCUCGGCCGAACUGUCCAUGGAGAGAUUCUGGCUGAAUCUAAACCCUUUUCGGUUCAGGCUGCUGCGUCGGGAUCGAUUCCCCUGAUAAAGGGGAUUUGCCCGGUUUGUAAAUGUUGGGGAUGAAAGGGGAGAGACGCCUCUAAAUCUUGCAGCACGGCGAAGAUGGACUGAGUGUGUCCGUGUACUCUUAGACCAUGGGGCUCUUGUUUCUUCUUCCACUAGGGAAUAUGGUCAUUCUGGGAGCACUCCUCUACAUUUGGCAGCU